UACGUAGGGGGCAAGCGUUGUCCGGAAUUAUUGGGCGUAAAGCGCGCGCAGGCGGUGAUUUAAGUCUUGUGUUUAAGCCCGGAGCUCAACUCCGGUACGCAUAGGAAACUGGGUCACUUGAGUGCAGAAGAGGAGAGUGGAAUUCCACGUGUAGCGGUGAAAUGCGUAGAUAUGUGGAGGAACACCAGUGGCGAAGGCGGCUCUCUGGUCUGUAACUGACGCUGAGGCGCGAAAGCGUGGGGAGCAAACAGG
rnacentral:ncRNA from 2 species